AGUGAACGCUGGCGGCGUGCCUAAUACAUGCAAGUCGAACGGAGAUUAAGUAGCUUGCUAUUUAAUCUUAGUGGCGCACGGGUGAGUAAUAUAUAGCUAACUUGCCCAUUACUAAGGGACAACAGUUGGAAACGACUGCUAAUACCUUAUACUCCGUAUCUAUAUAAGUAGAUACGGGAAAGUUUUUCGGUAAUGGAUAGGGCUAUAUCGUAUCAGCUAGUUGGUAAGGUAAUGGCUUACCAAGGCUAUGACGCGUAACUGGUCUGAGAGGAUGAUCAGUCACACUGGAACUGAGACACGGUCCAGACUCCUACGGGAGGCAGCAGUAGGGAAUAUUGCUCAAUGGGGGAAACCCUGAAGCAGCAACGCCGCGUGGAGGAUGACACUUUUCGGAGCGUAAACUCCUUUUCUUGGGAAAGAAUUAUGACGGUACCCAAGGAAUAAGCACCAGCUAACUCCGUG
rnacentral:rRNA from 1 species